rnacentral:lncRNA from 1 species
UGAUAUUUUACAACCAGAAAAAAGGAUAAACGAUACCCUAUCUUCUGAUAUUCCAAUCUCGCAUUUCUCUUGCUAUUCUCAUGCUCCUUUUUGAUAAUAUGAUGACAUUUCUGUUCCAUCUUAGGUCCUAAGGGUUAAAAGCUUGGGCUCUGGAAUAUGAAAGAGUCAAAUUAAAAUGCACUGUGUGGCUUCAUGCAAGUGACUUCAGCUUGUAAAAUGAGUAUAAUCAUGGAUUGUUGUGAGCAGUACACGAAAUAAUGCAAGCAAAGAGCUUAGAAUGGUGACUGGCACAAAGACAGUGCCUUGGGUUCUCUGGAUUGCAUUUACUCUGGUUCCUGAGGUGUGGAAAAGACAUUAUUAAAAUGAAUGCCAUUGCUUUUAUAGUAAAAAAUUGGGAAAUAGAAAAAUACACGAAGCUACAUAAGGUAAUUUUAAAUUCUAUCUUAAUUGGUCCAUUUGGGGGGGUUUAUAAUGGGGGGUUUUAUAAAGGGGGGUACUUAAUUCUCACUCCAAUUUCCAUUUGCAUAUAAGGGCUUGCUUAAUGCAGGGUAAACCCAUAAGCAUACUUUGAAAAUCUAUAAAACCACUCUUCUAUCUACCAUUACCAAAAAGUAGGUUUUUUUCCUUUUCUCCGUCUCUUUUAUCAACAAAAUCCUUGAAAAUUCUCUCUAGUAUAUUGCUAACUGAUAUCAAAAAUAUGUACAGGGUGAAUAAGGUGCAAACAAGCCUUUAA